UACCCGCAGCACAAGUGGUGGUCAUUAUUAUUGGGCCUAAAGCGUCCGUAGCUGGCUUGUUAGAUGCCUGGGUAAAUCGAUGCGCUUAACGCAUCGAAUUCCGGGUAGACCGGCAAGCUCGAGACCGGGAGAGGUGUAGGCUACUCGAGGGGUAGGGGUAAAAUCCGUGUAAUCCUUCGGGGAGGACCAGUGGCGAAGGCGCUACACUAGAACGGCUCUGGACAGUGAGGGACGAAGCCCUGGGGCGCAAAC
rnacentral:rRNA from 1 species